rnacentral:rRNA from 1 species
UACAGAGGGUGCGAACGUUAAUCGGAAUUACUGGGCGUAAAGCGCGCGUAGGCGGCUUUGCAAGUCGGGUGUGAAAUCCCCAGGCUUAACCUGGGAACUGCAUUCGAGACUGCAUUGCUAGAGUAUGGGAGAGGGAAGUGGAAUUUCAGGUGUAGCGGUGAAAUGCGUAGAUAUCUGGAGGAACACCGGUGGCGAAGGCGGCGUCCUGGACCAACACUGACACUGAGGAGCGAAAGCCAGGGGAGCAAACGGG